AGAAAAGCAGAAACACUUCACAACUCAUUUUAUGAAGUCAGCAUUACCCAGAACCAAAGACAUUCCAAGGGAAACAACAGACCAAUAUCCCUAAUAAAAAUAAACGGAGAAAAAUCUUUAGCAAAAGACUAACAAAUCGAACCCAGUAAUACAUUAAAAGAAUACCAUAACAUGACCAAGUGGAUUUUAUACAGGCUAUGCAAAAUUGGUUCAACUUUCAAAACAUUGUGUAAGUUCAACUUACUAAACAAGAAAAGUCAUAUGAUCAUCUCAAUAGAUGUAAAACAGCAUUUGACAGAGUUUAGCAUCCUUUUUUGAUAAAAACUCCCAAGAAACUGGGAACAGAAUGAA